GUCCGUGGAUAGAUAAUACAAGUAGUUAGCCCAAGAAACCACAAGUGUUCAACUCUGAACUACCACAACUCUGUUUCAAGCCCAUGGAUAGGCGGCACUAAAAUAAAGUGACUAGUUCAAAGGACCACAAGUGCUCGAUCCUAAACUACUACAACCAUGUAUCAAGUCCAUGGGUAGGCAGUAGUAAAAUAGCUAGUCCAGAGCACUGUAACCCCACAUAU
rnacentral:lncRNA from 1 species